rnacentral:rRNA from 1 species
AUUGAACGCUGGCGGCAGGCUUAACACAUGCAAGUCGAGCGGAGAUGAGGUGCUUGCACCUUAUCUUAGCGGCGGACGGGUGAGUAAUGCUUAGGAAUCUGCCUAUUAGUGGGGGACAACAUUCCGAAAGGAAUGCUAAUACCGCAUACGCCCUACGGGGGAAAGCAGGGGAUCUUCGGACCUUGCGCUAAUAGAUGAGCCUAAGUCGGAUUUGCUAGUUGGUGGGGUAAAGGCCUACCAAGGCGACGAUCUGUAGCGGGUCUGAGAGGAUGAUCCGCCACACUGGGACCGAGACACGGCCCAGACUCCUACGGGAGGCAGCAGUGGGGAAUAUUGGACAAUGGGCGGAAGCCUGAUCCAGCCAUGCUGCGUGUGUGAAGAAGGCCUUUUGGUUGUAAAGCACUUUAAGCGAGGAGGAGGCUACCUGGAUUAAUACUCUAGGAUAGUGGACGUUACUCGCAGAAUAAGCACCGGCUAACUCUGUGCCAGCCGCCGCGGUAAAAC